ACUCCUACGGGAGGCAGCAGUNAGGGAAUAUUGGUCAAUGGGCGCAAGCCUGAACCAGCCAUGCCGCGUGCAGGAAGACUGCCUUAUGGGUUGUAAAACUGCUUUUUAUAUGGGGAAAGAAACCCCUCUACGUGUAGAGGCUUGACGGUACCAUAAGAAUAAGCACCGGCUAACUCCGUGCCAGCAGCCGCGGUAAUACGGAGGGGGUGCAAGCGUUAU
rnacentral:rRNA from 1 species